AGAGGGGGAAAAAAGGCCAAAAAAAAAAAAAAAAAGGAGAAAGAAAAAAAAAAGAGGAAAAAGGGGACAAAACCCCCGACAACGCGGCCCGUACGCCCAGCCUGGCGACCGGCAAGCGGCAAGAAUGAAUGUCCCCGCGGGGCGGCUUCGGCGGCGGCGCGCGGGUCAGCGGCGACGGGAGAGUGGCGCGCUCGCCGAGAGGCGGCCAGUCUGGUCCAGGAUCCCGGUGGAACUGCUGCGAGGCCGCCUCGUCAGCACCCGCGUCCUCUGAGCACGUCCAGUGUCCCCAGCCUGGCGAUCAGGUACCGAACAGCGCAACUCCGAAAUGCUGCGGCUCCCGCCUGUUUCUGAGACGGCGAGUUGUAGUUGUCCUACACCCGGGGGGACGCACACUCGCUGCUGCAAUUGAUUACGGAAAAACCAUGACAGGUUUCUGAGAGGACACAGUGGAGGACGGAAGCCCUGGGAUGGAAAUUUCAGAAAAGCAGCUGCUAGUCCCAGAAAAAACUAAAGCUGUGUGCUCACUGGCAAAGAAAGAAGAGAACUCAGUCAAUUAUUUGGAUAAUAUGAGAUAAGCCUGUACUGCACAACACACACAAGGACACAAGGCUGCUCCAGGUGAAAGUGUUUUAUUCUCUUGACUAAAUUUGCCGCCCUCCCCAGUGCCCUUCCUGCCCCCACAUCACUGUCUGCAGGUGCAGACAGACCCAGAAUAGAACUGUAGCACUGGAAGGAUUUUUAGAGAUCAUCUAUUCCAUAACCUUCAUUUGACUUGACAGAUGAGAAAAAUGAGCCCAGAGAGACAAAGCAACUUGUUAAGGAUUAGACAACUAGUUGGUGGGGGCCUCUGUGCUACAAUCCUGGUCUCCUCACUCAAAGCAACAUUUCCACCACCACCCAGGCUUCUUGAAACCUGAACAAGAUGCACUGUCUAGGGUUGGGUGAAGUGAUGCCCUCAAAAUGAGCUAAAUCACAAUCUGAGUCUUGGGGAUGCUUUUUAUAUUCCCUGCCCCCACCUACUUGCUUCCAGUCACUGCAACAAAAAGCAGGAUCCGAGGUGGCAGAGACUGCUUUCCUUUUCCAUCUUCACUUUCUAUUUCAGAAAGAAGUAGGAGGGGACGACAUGCUGGCAGAAAAAUCUGAGAUCAUCCUAGAUUAUGAGCGGUUUGGGGACAGCAUGACUUAAUGUCUGAGACACCGUUUUAAGAAGGACUGCAUCAGAAGAGAUGAUACAACCAAAAUUAAGUUUCUGUAACAAUGAAUCAGGGUACCUGAUGACAAUAACUGUUUCAAAGCAGGAAUACUUAGCAUUUACACAGCAACUUUCAACUCCAAUGAAAGUUGCCAGUGGUGAUGAAUUCAAUCUCAUUGAAUUGUCAUUAUUCCCAUUUCACAGAAAAUAGUUGGGGCACUAGGGAAGCCUGGAAAUAAGAACCAAAGGACCCGGUGCAGUGGCUCACGCCUGUAAUCCCAGCACUUUGGGAGGCUGAGGAGGGUGGAUCACGAGGUCGAGAGAUGGAGAACAUCCUGGACAAUAUAGUGAAACCCCAUCUGUACUAAAAAUACCAGUGGCGUGCGCCUGUAGUCCCAGCUACCUGGGAGGCUGAGGCACGGGAAUCUCCUGAACCUGGGAGCUGGAGGUUGCAGUGAGCUGAGAUCAUGCCACUGCACUCCAGCCUGGUGACAGAGCAAAACUCCAUCUCAAAAGAAAAAAAAAAAAAGAACAAAAACAAAAUAACAAAAAUUAAUCAAUACAUCCAGAUUUUAUUUUUACCAAUUAUAGCUAGAGUAUUAGCCAAUUUAUAGACAACUAAAUUUUAAAUUAUUCUGUCUACAUUUCAAGCAAACAAUCCCAUAGGCCUCCAUUUCUCAACUUAGCAUUUUGUACCAAGAAACUGUUUCAUCGAUUAUGUAUACAUUUUGUACUUGGAAACAUCAUACAAUUUUAGAGUUAAAGGAACCCACUAACUCUAUAGGCUCACUCAUUCAACCAAUCAAAAAAACAUGGGUUUUGGAGUUAGUCAAGAUGCCUGAUUUAAAUAUCCAUACCCCAGGUCCCUUACCUGCUAAGCAUGUGGCUUUAUUUAGCAGGUCAGUUUCCUUCUCUGUGUCUCAUUAGUCUAUCUGCAAAAUAAGGUUAGCUCUGAUACUGUAGGACUGUAUGUAACAAAAGUGCUUAAAACAGUGCUUGACACAUAGUAAACACUGUGAACAAAUAUUGGCCAUUAGUGUCGUUGACCAUCUCUUAUGGAGCCACAGAACCAGAGUUGAUUGUGUUAAAUAGAACCAGAGAUACCAAGAAGGAUCUAAGAGUCAGCCAGGGGAACUGAUUGGUCCAGGUACUACAUGGCAGAGCUUGAUUGGCUUCAUAGUGAUUCAAUUCUGUAAAACAGUAAUGAACAGCUUGUACUUAUUAAGGACUUACUGACUAGCAUUAUCUCAUUUACUUCUCAUAACAGCAAUUUGAGAAAAGAACAAUUAUGUAUACCUAUUGUGUUGAAUUAAAAAUAGCCAUAAAUCUUUUGCCAUACUUCCCAUCAAGAGGUAGAGUCUAUUCCCUUUUGCUGAAUUAGAUGGAGCUUUGUGACAUGCUGUAAUCAAUAAAAUGAAGUGGAUGUUGUGCUUGUUCAGACUGGGCUAGGUUUUAAAGAGGCCUGGUAGUUUUUGUUCUUACUCUCACAUAGAACCCAGCUGCUGUGCUGUAAGGAAGGCAGUCUGGACUGCUAGAGGAAAAGAGAUUACUUAAGGAAUUGAAGCACCCCAGCUGACAGCACCAACUUCAAGUCACGUUAAUGAGACCAUAUUAGAUAUUCCAUUUCCAACUGAUUUCAGCCUUAUGAGGGAUCAUGAUAAUGCCAUGUAAGGCAGGGAUGAGCCACCCAUGCUGAGCCCUGUCCAAAUAGAAUCUUGAGAGAAAACACGAGGUUUUUGCUUUAAGCUACUAAGCUUUGGGUAGGUUUAUUAAACAGCAAUAGGUAACUGAAACACCCAGAUUGUGGAUGAAAAACGGAGGCUCAGAAAGGCUAAGCAACUUGUCCAUGGUUUAGGAGCUAGGAAGCAGCACAACCUGUAUUCAAACCCAGGACCAUCUGACACCAAAAUCCAUAAUCAUAACUGGCGAACUACAUAGUGCCUCCUACAGAAUAACCAAAUUCUGAAGAAUAAUUCACAAAGUAAAUUUUUGUUCCUUCCUUAUUCCAGACAUUACCUAAUGUAGGUUGGACUAAUAAAUAGCAAGACACGUCAGUCUUAAGACCAUAAAGAAUAAAAAUGUUAGAGUUAGAAAUGAAGCAAAAAUGAUCUCUGCCAAGAUCUCACUUCUUGAAAUUGAAAGAAGGUAUCUCACUGGAAGGUGGGUACAGAGCUCUAAAUUUGUUUUCUGGUUUUCAAAAACAACGAUACAAAUAAACAUCUGUUCUCACCUUUAGGAAAUCAGAGAUACAUUAACGCUUAGGGUGGUGAAUGGAAAUUGACAACAGGUGAUUGGUUGGCUCUUUGAAAUUCUCCAGAUGAAUCAUUCUGGGAGAAAAAAAAAAGGUAGGUUGAUUUUAUUACAACAUUUUCUGGGUCACAAAGAACUUUGAGGUUUU
ensembl:lncRNA